GGACUACCGGGGUAUCUAAUCCUGUUUGCUCCCCACGCUUUCGCGCCUCAGCGUCAGUUACAGACCAAAGAGCCGCCUUCGCCACUGGUGUUCCUCCACAUCUCUACGCAUUUCACCGCUACACGUGGAAUUCCGCUCUUCUCUUCUGCACUCAAGCCUUCCAGUUUCCAAUGACCCUCCCCGGUUGAGCCGGGGGCUUUCACAUCAGACUUAAAAGGCCGCCUGCGCGCGCUUUACGCCCAAUAAUUCCGGACAACGCUUGCCACCUACGUAUUACCGCGGCUGCUGGCAC
rnacentral:rRNA from 1 species